ACGUAGGGGGCAAGCGUUUUCCGGAGUUACUGGGCGUAAAGCGCACGCAGGCGGUCAGUCGCGUCAAGGGUGACAGUGCUCGGCUUAACUGAGCAAGCGCUCUUGAAACGGGCCGACUUGAGGGCCAGAGAGGGAGUCGGAACUCCGGGUGUAGCGGUGGAAUGCGUAGAGAUCCGGAAGAACACCGGUGGCGAAGGCGGCCUGCUGGGCAGUUUGCUGACACUGAGGCGCGACAGCGUGGGGAGCAAACAGGA
rnacentral:rRNA from 1 species